rnacentral:lncRNA from 1 species
UUUUAACUUCAUAUUAUAUUUUUCUAACCAAAGAUAUUUGGGUUCAUUUUUUUUAACUUUUUUUUUUUUUUUUCAGUUUUCGGCGGACACUUCUUUGUAUGUGGUGCUGAGGAUCAAACCUGCGCCACACACAUGCCAGGCAAGCACGCUACCGCUUGAGCCACAUCCCCAGCCCAAACCAAAGAUAUUUGGGUUCUUAAAUCUCUGUGAUCUAAACUUAUGGCUGUUGUUUCUUCUGGACUUUCACAAAUGGUGGAUUGUUUACUUGUGUAUCUAGUGACUCACAACUGUGAAAUUAUAUAUUAUUGA